UGAAAUUGCUCGAUAUGUUGGUGAAGCGUAUCCAAAAGGUGUUUGCUCAGUUUACUGUGUCAACGGAAAAGAUGCAGAGGAACCUGAAUCUGAUUUUGAGCUUGCUGUGGUUAUUGCUGCUGCUAGACAUAGCCCUCAAAAUUUCUGUAAUGGAAGUUGGCGUUCUACAUGGAACAUUGAGUUCAAAAGUGAUUUUCAAGCCCG
rnacentral:misc_RNA from 1 species